rnacentral:tRNA from 3 species
GCGGGCGUGGUGGAAUUGGUAGACACGCUUGACUUAGGAUCAAGUGCCUCACGGUGUGAAGGUUCGAGUCCUUUCGCCCGCACAA